ACUCACCCCAUGUUUACAUUUUUGUUUAGUUUGAAGCAUCUGUGGAAAUUUUGUUCAAUACAAAAGUCAGCAUACACUGUGGCUCACCACUGAUAUAUCGGCCAUUUUUUACCCAUGUUUACCUUAUCUGUCCAUAUCGGUAUCGGCCAUUCUCAUAUCGGCUUUUGCCGAUAUUUGUCCAAAAUGCGCCAUCUCAUGUUAAUUCCAACAUUUAGCAGGUUCAAAUUUACUGUGACUAAAAAUAUUAGUCCUAAAGUUAAUUUCAAUAGUGUUUGCUCAACAACUACGAUAGCACUGGCUUACCGCGGGUCUGUUGGCAAGGUAAACAAAACCAGCAACAACGCAUGGAAACAUGGGAUGGUGAAGGAAAAAAUUAAUUCAUGGACACUGAAGAAAUGGAGCAGACUUCUGGACAAAAAAGUGGACCGAAGAGUGUUGUUUGGGAGCAUUUUACAGAACAACCACCAGGAACUGCACUCUGCAAAGAAUGCAACAACUCUGUCAAACUUGGCUCUGAAACAUCUAAAACUAAAAACACCUCACACAUGUGGUCUCAUCUAAAAGUUAAUCACGCUGAUCUCUACAAGGCAGCACAGGAAAAACAAAAGAGGUCAUCUGCCACUAAAACUGCCGUUCAGCCCACUCUUGUACAGUUAUAUGACCAUCAAAUAAAACAACAUUUAAAUGGA